UAUAUCCUAUUGCUUGCCAUUUUUAUUUGUCAAUAUUAAUACAGGGUAAUGCCUAGCCAUAGAAAUCAUUUUUAAGAUUUCCAUUGAGACUUUUGGUCUAGUACUUUUGUAAAAGUAUUCCUAGCUCAGCUAGCUCCAUGAAAUAAAUAUAUCUGUAAACUCUUUUGAUUUUAUAGGAAUUUGCUGUCGAUCCAGAGAAAAUACAGUUGUAUUCUUUAUAUCAUUCACUGCAUCAUUAUAAACAUCAUGUUUAUCUCAUAUGUAAAGAUGAGAUUUCUUCUGUGCAGAAAAGAAAUGAAGAUUUAGGACAGGAAGAAAUUGUUCAACUUUGUAUGAAAAAUGUAAAAUGGGUGGAAGACCUAUUUGAAAAAUUUGGAGAACUUCUAAAUCAUGUUCAGCAGAAAUGUUCCUAACAAUUUCCACAAAAGUGCCGUCCAUUUUGUAGCACUAAUGAGAUGGCGGAGAGGGGUGAUCAAAGAGGGUCUGGGGCCUCAGACAAUUGAAUAUCAAGCAGUGGUCUCCUGCAGGCCCGCCUGCUCCGAUCAGGGAACUGGCAUCGUGACCUCUGCUGAAGGACAGUGGUGCUGCCAAGGAAUUCAGUCCUUCGGAAGUGGACCUAAAUCCCACGACAUGUGUAUCCUAAUGAAUGAUUUUUCUAUUUUGUAAACCAUUGCGUAACUGAGUUUUAUUUUCAGAAGCGUUUUUUUGACAAGUGAAGCAUGCACUAAAUACAAUUUUUCGUUAUUGCUAGAGAGAUAACACUUAAAUAACUUGAUAAUUUUUUCCUGACUCUGACUAAACACCAGGAUGAAAGAAAGGGGACAGAAAGCCUAUGUUUGCAUUCGUGUCUGGCCACGAAACGGAAAGUAUUGUACGUUAUGACAACAGAUCUGGUGUGAUGUGACAUUUUGUACGAGAAUAUCAACAGUUUAAAAUAUGAAAUUCAGAAUCUGCAUUCUGCUUUACGAACUCCUUUUACUCUUAUGUUCAGGAAACUGGAUGUGGAAUUGGUGCAAUUCUAUGACUGCUUUUCAUGUCAAAUUAUAUUGUGAUGAAAAAAACAAUGACAUACUAUUUUCCCUAUCUCAAAGAAAAGUAUUUUCCUUUAUACUUUUUUCCCUUUAGAAAAAUUCUCAGUCGUACAUUUUAUUUCACUAAUAGUUGUAUUUUUCACAAGGAAAGUGUUGUGGUUAUAAUUAUGUUUGAUGUAUCUGUACUACACUUUUCAUUAUUUUCAGUAAAUCUUAUUUAGAUA